UACGGAGGAUCCAAGCGUUGUCCGGAUUUAUUGGGUUUAAAGGGUGCGUAGGUGGAUAAUUAAGUCAGGGGUGAAAGCCUGCAGCUCAACUGUAGAACUGCCCUUGAAACUGAUUAUCUUGAAUGUGGUUGAGGUAGGCGGAAUGUGUCAUGUAGCGGUGAAAUGCUUAGAUAUGAUACAGAGCACCAAUUGCGAAGGCAGCUUACUAAACCAUUAUUGACACUGAGGCACGAAAGCAUGGGGAGCAAACAGG
rnacentral:rRNA from 1 species